rnacentral:rRNA from 1 species
GUGAGGAAUUUUCCGCAAUGGGCGAAAGCCUGACGGAGCAAUGCCGCGUGAAGGAUGAAGGCCUAUGGGUUGUAAACUUCUUUUCUCAGAAAAGAAUUAUGACGGUAUCUGAGGAAUAAGCAUCGGCUAACUCUGUGCCAGCAGCCGCGGUAAGACAGAGGAUGCAAGCGUUAUCCGGAAUGAUUGGGCGUAAAGCGUCUGUAGGUUGUUUAAAAAGUAUUCUGUCAAAGAUUAGGGCUUAACCCUAGAUAGGCAGAAUAAACUUUUAAGCUAGAGUAUGGUAGAGGCAGAGGGAAUUCCCGGUGGAGCUGUGAAAUGCGUAGAUAUCGGGAGGAACACCAAAGGCGAAGGCACUCUGCUGGGCCAAUACUAACACUGAGAGACGAAAGCGAGGGGAGCAAAUGGGAUUAGAAACCCGGGUAGUCC